GUACUCGCUUCGGCAGCACAUAUACUAAAAUUGGAAUGAUACAGGUAAGAUUAGCAGGGCCAAUGCACAAGGAUGACAUGCAAAUUUGUGAAGUGAUCCAUAUUUAA